GUAGGUGGCAAGCGUUGUCCGGAAUUAUUGGGCGUAAAGCGCGCGCAGGCGGUCCUUUAAGUCUGAUGUGAAAGCCCACGGCUCAACCGUGGAGGGUCAUUGGAAACUGGGGGACUUGAGUACAGAAGAGGAAAGCGGAAUUCCGAGUGUAGCGGUGAAAUGCGUAGAGAUUUGGAGGAACACCAGUGGCGAAGGCGGCUUUCUGGUCUGUAACUGACGCUGAGGCGCGAAAGCGUGGGGAGCAAACAGGGAUUAGAUACCCUGGUAGUCCACGCCGUAAACGAUGAGUGCUAAGUGUUAGGGGGUUUCCCGCCCCUUAGUGCUGCAGCUAACGCAUUAAGCACUCCGCCUGGGGAGUACGGCCGCAAGGCUG
rnacentral:rRNA from 1 species